CGUUUGACCUCGGAUCAGGUAGGGAUACCCGCUGAACUUAAGCAUAUCAAUAAGCGGAGGAAAAGAAACCAACAGGGAUUGCCCUAGUAACGGCGAGUGAAGCGGCAACAGCUCAAAUUUGAAAUCUGGCUCUUUUAGAGUCCGAGUUGUAAUUUGCAGAGGGCGCUUUGGCUUUGGCAGCGGUCCAAGUUCCUUGGAACAGGACGUCACAGAGGGUGAGAAUCCCGUACGUGGUCGCUAGCUAUUGCCGUGUAAAGCCCCUUCGACGAGUCGAGUUGUUUGGGAAUGCAGCUCUAAAUGGGAGGUAAAUUUCUUCUAAAGCUAAAUAUUGGCCAGAGACCGAUAGCGCACAAGUAGAGUGAUCGAAAGAUGAAAAGCACUUUGGAAAGAGAGUCAAACAGCACGUGAAAUUGUUGAAAGGGAAGCGCUUGCAGCCAGACUUGCUUGCAGUUGCUCAUCCGGGCUUUUGCCCGGUGCACUCUUCUGCAGGCAGGCCAGCAUCAGUUUGGGCGGUGGGAUAAAGGUCUCUGACACGUUCCUUCCUUCGGGUUGGCCAUAUAGGGGAGACGUCAUACCACCAGCCUGGACUGAGGUCCGCGCAUCUGCUAGGAUGCUGGCGUAAUGGCUGUAAGCGGCCCGUCUUGAAACACGGACCAAGGAGUCUAACAUCUAUGCGAGUGUUUGGGUGUCAAGCCCGAGCGCGUAAUGAAAGUGAACGGAGGUGGGAACCCGCAAGGGUGCACCAUCGACCGAUCCUGAAGUUUACGGAAGGAUUUGAGUAAGAGCAUGGCUGUUGGGACCCGAAAGAUGGUGAACUAUGCUUGAAUAGGGUGAAGCCAGAGGAAACUCUGGUGGAGGCUCGCAGCGGUUCUGACGUGCAAAUCGAUCGUCA
rnacentral:rRNA from 1 species